ACGAACGCUGGCGGCAUGCCUAACACAUGCAAGUCGAACGUUCCCUUCGGGGAUAGUGGCGCACGGGUGCGUAACGCGUGGGAACCUGCCCUUAGGUUCGGAAUAACUCCGAGAAAUUUGAGCUAAUACCGGAUAAUGUCUUCGGACCAAAGAUUUAUCGCCUUUGGAUGGGCCCGCGUUGGAUUAGCUAGUUGGUGGGGUAAAGGCCUACCAAGGCGACGAUCCAUAGCUGGUCUGAGAGGAUGAUCAGCCACACUGGGACUGAGACACGGCCCAGACUCCUACGGGAGGCAGCAGUGGGGAAUAUUGGACAAUGGGCGAAAGCCUGAUCCAGCAAUGCCGCGUGAGUGAUGAAGGCCUUAGGGUUGUAAAGCUCUUUUACCCGGGAUGAUAAUGACAGUACCGGGAGAAUAAGCCCCGGCUAGCUCCGUG
rnacentral:rRNA from 1 species